rnacentral:rRNA from 1 species
AUGAUGUUCUCGAGCCAGGUCGACGCCUUCUCGCCGUCGCAGUUCCCCGCGUCGCAGAACGCCGCCGCCGACUCCACCCCCAACAAGGUCCCUUUCCUCCUCCCCUCCCCAGUCCCCGCUUUCUCUCGGUUUGGCUUCACAGUUCCGGGGCGCGUCGGGCACGAUGCCGCUGACCGUGAAGCAGAUCGCGGACGCGCGACUGGCCGGCACGGGGAAGAAGGGCUUGCCCUUGGUCGUCGACGGUGUCGAGACGGCCAACGUGAGCGAAGAAUCAUCCGCCAUGCGCCUCCGCUCGGCUCCGGGCCCGUCUGGAUCGGCUUCUUACCCUGUUGUUGUUUGGGGUUGGGGGAUCUGCAGGUCAGGCUCGUGGGGAUGCUGAGCGGCAAGGCGGAGCAGAACACGGACGUGUCCUUCACCCUCGACGGCACCGAGGCGACAUGCGGCGGGAUCCCGUGCGGCGGCGGGCCGCCAGAUGCUUGA